GUUUGACCUCAAAUCAGGUAGGAAUACCCGCUGAACUUAAGCAUAUCAAUAAGCGGAGGAAAAGAAACCAACAGGG
rnacentral:rRNA from 1 species